UUUUCGGAGAGUUUGAUCCUGGCUCAGGAUCAACGCUGGCGGCGUGCAUGAGACAUGCAAGUCAAACGGACGAUCAAAGCUUGCUUUGAUCGUUAGUGGCGGACGGCUGAGUAACGCGUGGGUGACCUGCCCCGAAGUGGGGAAUAACUGCCCGAAAGGGUGGCUAAUACCGCAUGUGGUGGUGCGUUCGAUCGCACCAGUAAAGCCGCAAGGCGCUUCGGGAGGGGCCUGCGUCCGAUUAGCUCGUUGGUGGGGUAACGGCUCACCAAGGCGACGAUCGGUAGGUGGUCUGAGAGGACGAUCACCCAGACUGGGACUGAGACACGGCCCAGACUCCUACGGGAGGCAGCAGUUAGGAAUUUUGUGCAAUGGGGGAAACCCUGACACAGCCACGCCGCGUGCGGGAUGAAGGCCUUCGGGUCGUAAACCGCU
rnacentral:rRNA from 1 species